CCUACGGGUGGCAGCAGUGAGGAAUAUUGGUCAAUGGGCGCGAGCCUGAACCAGCCAAGUAGCGUGAAGGAUGACUGCCCUACGGGUUGUAAACUUCUUUUAUAAAGGAAUAAAGUGCGGCACGUGUGCCUUUUUGUCUGUAUUUCAUGAAUAAGGAUCGGCUAACUCCGUGCCAGCAGCCGCGGUAAUACGGAGUGUCCGAGCGUUAUCCGGAUUUAUUGGGUUUAAAGGGAGCGUAGAUGGGUUGUUAAGUCAGUUGUGACAGUUUGCGGCUCAACCGUAAAAUUGCAAUUGAUACUGGCAGCCUUGAGUACAGUUGAGGUAGGCGGAAUUCGUGGUGUAGCGGUGAAAUGCUUAGAUAUCACGAAGAACUCCGAUGGCGAAGGCAGCCUACUAAACUGCCACUGACAUUGCUUCUCGAAAGUGUGGGUAUCAAACAGGAUUAGAUACCCGUGUAGUC
rnacentral:rRNA from 1 species